rnacentral:rRNA from 1 species
AUGCGUAGAUAUAUGGAAGAACACCAGUGGCGAAGGCGGCUGUCUGGUCUGUAACUGACGCUGAGGCUCGAAAGCAUGGGUAGCGAACAGGAUUAGAUACCCUGGUAGUCCAUGCCGUAAACGAUGAUUACUAAGUGUUGGAGGGUUUCCGCCCUUCAGUGCUGCAGCUAACGCAUUAAGUAAUCCGCCUGGGGAGUACGACCGCAAGGUUGAAACUCAAAAGAAUUGACGGGGGCCCGCACAAGCGGUGGAGCAUGUGGUUUAAUUCGAAGCAACGCGAAGAACCUUACCAGGUCUUGACAUCCUCUGACAAUCCUAGAGAUAGGACGUCCCCUUCGGGGGCAGAGUGACAGGUGGUGCAUGGUUGUCGUCAGCUCGUGUCGUGAGAUGUUGGGUUAAGUCCCGCAACGAGCGCAACCCUUGAUCUUAGUUGCCAGCAUUCA